ACUCAAAUGAAUUGACGGGGGCCCGCACAAGCGGUGGAGCAUGUGGAUUAAUUCGAUGCAACGCGAAGAACCUUACCUAGGCUUGACAUGUGAGUGAUCGGUAUAGAGAUAUAUCUUCCCUUCGGGGCACUCAACACAGGUGGUGCAUGGUUGUCGUCAGCUCGUGUCGUGAGAUGUUGGGUUAAGUCCCGCAACGAGCGCAACCCUUAUCUUUAGUUGCCAGCAUUUAGUUGGGCACUCUAGAGAGACUGCCGUGGACAACACGGAGGAAGGUGGGGAUGAUGUCAAAUCAUCAUGCCCCUUACGCCUAGGGCUUCACACGUGCUACAAUGGUCUCUACAAAGUGAUGCAAGACAGUGAUGUGGAGCGAACCACAAAAAGAGACCCCAGUUCGGAUUGUAGGCUGCAACUCGCCUGCAUGAAGGUGGAAUCGCUAGUAAUCGCGAAUCAGCAUGUCGCGGUGAAUACGUUCCCGGGCCUUGUACACACCGCCCGU
rnacentral:rRNA from 1 species